rnacentral:rRNA from 1 species
GACGAACGCUGGCGGCGUGCUUAACACAUGCAAGUCGAACGGAAAGGCCUGCUUUCCCUUGUGUGUUCGGGUUACUCGCGUGGGGAACGGGCGAGUAUAACGUGACUUAUCUGCCCCCAACUCUGGAAUAAGCUGGGGAUACUGGGGCUAAUUCCCGCUAGGUCUGCGGGGUGGUGCGGAUGGUGUAGACGGUUUGUCAUGUGCUCGGGGCUGAGCGGGCGGCUGUUCAGGUUGUUGGUGGGGUAAUGGCCUACGAGGGCGGGGACGGGUAGCCGGCCCGGGAGGGGGGACGGCAACAGUGGGACUGAGAUACGGCCCAGACUCCUACGGGAGGCAGCAGUCGGGAAUAUUGCACAAUGGGCGGAAGCCUGAGGCAGCGACGCCGCGUGGGGGAUGACGGCCUUCGGGUUGUAAACUCCUGUCGACCGCGAGGAAGCCACCUGGUUGGAAGGGUGGUGACGGUAGUGGUAGAAGAAGCACCGGCUAACUACGUG